CAAGCUCCUUUAAGUGUUAAAAUUUCUGCUUAAUUUUUGUUCUUUCUUUUCUUUUCUUUCACUCUUUAAAAUAUGCAAUCAAGUGAACAAUAAUGGAAAAGGCAGAUAGUAAUACAGUUGGGGGCCAUAUCAAAUUCCUUCACAGAAAUGAACCAACAUUUACCACCAAGGAUGUUGGGAGACUGCAUCCAAUCCAAUGAGUCGCUGGAAUAAUGGUUCAGGAAAAGAUGAUAUAAUGGGGAUGAUUCAGAGAUUUUCCCUACUACUGUUUUAAUAGCUGUGAGGGAUCAUACAGAAAAGUCACUUUUUCGAAGCCAUAUGAAUCAUUUCAAGGCCUUGUAUGAUGUUUGUUCUUUUCUACUUUUAGAGGUUUAGGGAGUUAUGUAUAUUUGGCCUUUUGAAUGUAUUUCUUUUGUAGUAAGAUUCCCUGAUGAGGGUCAGCAAGCAAGGGAGUAAAUUUCAAAACUUGGCAACUUGAAUUUAUGUUUCUACAGCAGAGCUCACCAUAUAGUAUAAUAGCUAGCAUUCAUAUCAUGGUUCAAGGUUUUCAAAAUACUUUAUAAAUGUUAUCUGAUUUGAUCCUCAUAACAACCCUGAGAGAAGCAUGUUCUUUUCAUUUCCAUUUUACAGAUGAGGAAAUUAAGACUGACAGAGAGUAAAAGACUACACAAGGUCACAUCGCUGAAAAUCCAGCUGUUAAGAGUCACCUUUUCACUCACCACAUGUCAGUUCAAAGGAAGAGAUUUUAGAACAGCCUCACCAGGUCUUGGGUCCAGUCUUCACUUCCAAAGAAUUAAGUACUCCAUCUCACAGGAGUUAAUAUGUAUUCUUUGUAAAACUAAAGCACAUCAGCACUUAUUUUUAACAAAUAUAAGUAAGCAAUAUGGAGCAAUAUCUUUUGACUACAUGUUGGUCCCCAAAAUGCCUUAAUCUUGAGUGAAAAUGCUUUUCUAUUACUACAAGCAGAUAGCCAGAACAAAUGAUCUCUGGAUCAAGAAACCAAAAGCUCUUCCCAAUAGCCUUGACUAAGACAUCAUCUGUCCAUCCAUCUGAGUUUGUCUAUUGAGGGCAUUUUAAGUCAGGACAAGGCUGAACUUCUGGACUACUGUUUAGGCCAUUUUAUUUCAUUAUAAUUACAGAAUUUUCUUAUUUGAAAGAUUAUAUUUGCCAACCAUGUCUAGUACUCGAAAACUUUCUAGAUCCUAAAGAAACUCUUCAUUUUUUUGUUUUAUAAUAAUUCUAACUUAGCAACUAUAAUUAGUAAACAUUCAUAAAACUUAUGUUAUGGCCACAGCUAGCAUGCUUGUCAGGGCUCCCUUCUUUAGAUUAGGAGGUUGUUUUUUGUUUCUUUUGACAAGUUUAUUUUUAUCUUUGUCACUUCUUAUUCAAUAUGACAACACAAUAUUGAAAAUUAAUAAAAAAGAUUCACUGUUGCA
rnacentral:lncRNA from 1 species